ACCCGCUGAAUUUAAGCAUAUAAGUAAGUGGUGGAAAUUAAACCAACUGGGAUCUCUUCAGUAAUUGCGCAUGAACCAGGAUAUGCUUAGCUUGACAAAUGGAGCUGCUGGCUCUGAAUUGUAUUGUGGGAAUGUAUUACCAACAGAGGUGCAGGUGUCAGCCAUUUGAAAGAAAGCAUCAAUGAGGGUGAGAGUCCUGUUUGUCAUGUGCAGCCUUCUGUGCACGGUGUAUAUUUGCUGAGUCACACUCCUUGGCAUUGGAAUGCAAAGUGGGUGGUAAGUUUCAUGCAAAGGUAAAUAUGCAAUUGAGACUGAUAGCGCACAAGUACCAUGAGGGACAUAUGAAAAGGACUUUGAAAAGAGAAUUAAAUGAGUUUGUAUUUGCUAAACACAAAGUAAACAGACUUGAUUUCCUCAGUGAGAUUGUAGUGCUUGCUUAACAAUGGGUUUUGGCUGCAAGUGCAAUAAUUCUUGCUUUGUGUGCCAGUUUUUAUGUGGACAUUUGAUUACCUUUGCACAUGAAUGGUAAUUUUCCUGCGGGGUGUGGAUUGCAUAUGCAUGUAAUGAUUUGCAUGUUUGUUAAAUGUGUCUGGUGUAUUUGUUUGUGUCCUUGUCCUUGAGGUUGCUUUCUCCCUUGGGCUUACAUGCCCUGGCACACACAUUCUGGCAAAAUGCUUCUGCUUGACCCGUCUUGAAACACGGUCCAAGG
rnacentral:rRNA from 2 species